rnacentral:lncRNA from 1 species
UUAGGGAUUUUGUUUUAAAAUGAACCCACUCAUAUUUUGGAAAUCUUUUAGCCGAACUACGGCAUUUUGAUCCUUACCUUUCAUGGAAGGUACGUAGGCAACGGGUUCAUCCGUUCAAACACAAAAAUAACUAACUUGUAUAUUCUUUUCUCAUCUCUUCCCAAUCAUGUUUGCACAAUAUGUCAUAAACAAAUAAAUUUUUUUAUACAACAAGUGUGAAAAGGGCUCCCUAGGAGUACCUAGGAUGUUUUGGGUGCCUAACAC